CACAUAUUUUUUUAUUAACCAUCACAAACAAUAUAAUUAAUACAAAUGCGAAACAUGUAGGGAACUAACGAAAAAAAAUGCAAAAUUCAGAAUAAUACAACUAAAAUUAUUAUUAAGUAUAACUAAAAUUCGGAAAGAUUAAAAAUGAAUCAACUUAAUCAGAUUAAAAGUGUUUAAAUGAAAAUUAAUAUGAUUGAAUUUUUUUUUUAAUUACAGAAAUAAUUUUUAAUGCUGACUUUAGUGUAACUAAUAUAAGCUAACUUUUAACGCUGACUAAUACUAUAAGCCAUACAUUUUUUGUGCAUGAAACAUAUGAAAAAAAAACUAAAUAAAAAAUGUGAUGCAUAAAACCUUUGCAUUGUUAUUUUCUUACAAAAUUAAAAAAAAAUAGUAAUUUGCAUUUACAUAUUUUGUAACACUCAUUUAAACAUUAAAGCACUUACGUUAUAUUUAUUUGUAAUAUAUAGUUUUCAACAUUAUAUUUUUUAACAUUAGCAAUAAACAAUCAUUAUAUCUUAUUAUUGGUUCAUAAGACACUUUAGUUAAAUAUUAUAAUAAUACUUAAAAAAGCAUUUUAGUCUAAAACCGAAAAAAAAAUUAAAACUUGUAAAUAUUUAUAGAUCUAAAGGAUAUACAGAUCGAAAAUUAAAAAUGAGAAAAAUAUUUAAAUUUAAAUCUUUGAUUCAUUCGCCUUUCGAGAUUUUACAAGGCACCUGCAAAAGAAAAAUAUAAUAAGGAAAAGUUAUUGAUAAAAAAAUGUUUGCGAUAGGUGUAAAAUUCAAAAUAAGUAGUUAAUUACUUUUAAUUUAAAAAAAAAAUUGUAGUUGUCGGACUCGUAUGAAGAGUUCCGUGACGUCAUACAAGAAAUACAACUUUUUUCCUAACCACAAAUUAAAGGUUUUUAAAGGAUUUGUUCCUUUAUUUGUGCUACACUACAAGACAUUGCUAACUAAAU